GUAGGCGGUUUAAUAAGUGAAUAGUGAAACCUGGUGGCUCAACCAUACAGACUAUUAUUCAAACUGUUAAACCCGAGAAUGGUAGAGGUAACNUGGAAUUUCUAGUGUAGGAGUGAAAUCCGUAGAUAUUAGAAGGAACACCGAUGGCGUAGGCAGGUUACUGGGCCAUUUCUGACGCUAAGGCACGAAAGCGUGGGGAGCGAACCGGAUUAGAUACCCGGGUAGUCCACGCCGUAAACGAUGGAUACUAGCUGUUGGAGGUAUCGACCCCUUCAGUAGCGAAGCUAACGCGUUAAGUAUCCCGCCUGUGGAGUACGGCCGCAAGGCUAAAACAUAAAGGAAUUGACGGGGACCCGCACAAGCGGUGGAUUAUGUUCUUUAAUUCGAUGAUAACCGAAGAACCUUACCAGGGCUUGACAUCCAGGGAAGGUCUGCGAAAGUAGACUGUGCCUUUUGGAACCCUGUGACAGGUGAUGCAUGGCCGUCGUCAGCUCGUGUCGUGAGAUGUUAGGUUAAGUCCUUCAACGAGCGCAACCCUUGUGAAUAGUUGUAUUUUUCUAUUCAGACUGCCCCGGUAACGGGGAGGAAGGANGGGGAUGAUGUCAGGUCAGUAUUUCCCUUACGUCCUGGGCUAGAAACGUAAUACAAUGGCUAGUACAAUGCGCANCGAAGCCNNCGAGGUGAAGCAAAUC
rnacentral:rRNA from 1 species